CAAUAGCGUAUAUUUAAGUUGCUGCAGUUAAAAAGCUCGUAGUUGGAUUUCGGGUGGGAAUGGCCGGUCCGCCGUUUCGGUGUGCACUUGCUACGCCCACCUUGCUGCCGGGGACGUGCUCUUGAGUUCACGCUCGGGACACGGAGUCGGCGAGGUUACUUUGAAAAAAUUAGAGUGUUCAAAGCGGGCUUACGCUUGAAUAUAUUAGCAUGGAAUAACACCAUAGGACUCCUGUCCUAUUUCGUUGGUCUCGGGACGGGAGUAAUGAUUAAGAGGAACAGUUGGGGGCAUUCGUAUUUCAUUGUCAGAGGUGAAAUUCUUGGAUUUAUGAAAGACGAACUUCUGCGAAAGCAUUUGCCAAGGAUGUUUUCAUUGA
rnacentral:rRNA from 1 species